rnacentral:rRNA from 1 species
UACGAAGGGGGCUAGCGUUGUUCGGAAUUACUAGGCGUAAAGCGCGCGCAGGCGGUUCGAUAAGUUGGGGGUGAAAUCCCCGGGCUCAACCCGGGAAUGGCCUUCAAGACUGUCGAUCUUGAGGACGAGAGAGGUGAGUGGAAUUCCCAGUGUAGAGGUGAAAUGCGCAGAUAUCGGGAAGAACACCCGUGGCGAAGGCGGCUCUCUGGGACGGUACUGACGCUGAGACGCGAAAGCGUGGGGAGCGAACAGG